GUAAACAAAGGUGAUCACUCUUUCAAAAGUCAUACUAAUAUUUCAAAAAGUAUUUGUUGCAUUACGAUCUGUCCAGUGUAGAUUAGGAGUAUUUAUUUACGUAUGGUACCACCAGUAUUAUUUUUUUUUUACCCUUGAAGUGUUAAGCCUCUUAUCACCACCAGAGGGUGGACAUGCAUUGAUUGUAUUGUAUGAUAAACUGAGAUUGAAAGUGUUGUGUACUGACACCACACUGUUGACGGAGACGACAGCGAACAUUUAAUUUAUUAUAGUGUUGAAUAAAAGUUGACUGAUUUAAAAAAAAAAAAAAAAAAAAAGCUCAAGCAAUUCCUAUGGUGAUGGAUAAUGGCUUGUGUUUUAAUUGGCUAAGGAUGUCGUCUACAGUCUAGACAUCAAACAUCCGUCUAGAAUGCCGUCUGAUUCCUGGGCCAGACUACUAAUCUGUCAGCAUGGAGGAAACCACCAUUGUGCUGUCUGCAGGUGCUUGGUGAUGUCAUCAACCCGGGUCAAGAGUCAGGGAGAACACCAAGGGUCGUUGUCCUGUUGGAAGGUGAACCUUCGCCCCAGUCUGAGGUCCUGAGCACUCUGGAGCAGGUUUUCGAUCCUGACUAGUCUCCCAGUCCCUGCUGCUGAAAAACAUCCCCACAGCAUGAUGCUGCCACCACAAUGCUUCACCAUAGGGAUGGUGCCAGGCUUCCUCCAGACGUGACGCUUGGCAUUCAGGUCAAAGAGUUCAAUCUUGGUUUCAUCAGACCAGAAAAUCCUGUUUCUCAUGGUCUGAGAGUCUUUAGGUGCCUUGACAGCUCCAAGCGGGCUGUCAUGUGCCUUUUACUGAGGAGUGGCUUCCGUCUGGCCACUCUACUAUAAAGGCCUGAUUGUUGGAGAGCUGCAGAGAUGCUUGUCCUUCUGGAAGUUUCUCCCAUCUCCACAGAGGAACUCUAGAGCUCUGUCAGAGUGACCAUUGGGUUCAAGCGGAGCCUUGUCUGGCAGCAAAACAGUUAAUUCAGACUAAUUUACUGCCUUUUAAAAAACAGCUGAUAUGGCUGACUUGCUUAAUUAAACAAAUGUGGUUUCUAAUGACAAGCGGAUAAGAGGCAAUCUGUAAUUUAGAUUAAGACAUUAAUGAGCAAGCUAGGACGGACGUAGUCAAUAUAACUAUUUGUUUAGCACUUUUGAAAUGUACAGCGACAGAAUUCAGAACAUUGGCCGUUCUUACAGUGUUCUCCCUGUACACCAAGUCAGAACCGUAGGAUAAAUAUAGGGGGCAUAUAAGCAGACAAUGAAAGCUCUUACAAUAUUCGAUGAUUACAUUUCUCUAAAACAGCUUAAAGGUUACAUGUGCACCGCCAAGUCAGAACAGUAGGCAAUAUUAAAAGGGGUAAAUAGACCAAAUUAUUACGGUGAGGCACAUGGGCUACUCACAUCUUACUACACAACAUACACUUAGUAUUACUUUCUUAGCUACAGUAUACAUAUCUCUCUGGCAUAAUACAUAAUUUAUUCAGCAGCAUACAAUACAUUUUUGGACUCACCUUGUUGUGCUAUACUCACUUGAACAGGAACGUGGCGUGGCGGUCCUUCUUGGGCAAAUUUUGUUAUCAAAGUCUGGCAUUCUCUGGAUUUAUGGUGCUUUCAAAACGACUGGGAACUAGGAAAAAAACAAGGUUGAGUCAUGAUGACGUCAUUGAUCUUCAGGUCAUAGCUCUAGAAAGAUGCAGGAUUUACACUUCUGUGUUGGAUGACCGUUCAAAACAUAUUUUCCCAGUCGAAACUUGUUUAUUUCCAACUUCCCAGUUGUCUUGAACUCACUGAAGCCACGUUUUCACAGUUCCAAGUUAACAGUUGUUUUGGGCGCGGCACAAAUCAUGCUUCAUUGACAGAAAGACCAAUAUUCAAUGUUUUUCAUUUUAAACUUGGAAAAGAGCCCCUUAAUCCCAGAUUUGGGACCACACAGCCACUCCACUGAAUAGUAGGCUAGUGAUUGCUUUGCAAUGUUGCAGUUAGCCACUGUCACUGAUUACUUCCAAACCCCUCAUUGUUGAAUUUGCGAUUUCCAACUUGUUGUGUAAUGUUUGUCCAAUGGACGAUGAAAACCAAUACAUUUUAUCUAUAAUUUCUCUUCAUUAUUUCUCUUCAUAUGACAAGGAUUAAAAAGGAUUUGCCAGUAGAUUGUCGACUUGAUUCAUGACGAUUCCUGCUAGGUAAGAUUUUGAAAGUAUGAUGUUGACAUGAUCAGUCCGAUCAAAGCUACUGUACAUAUAACGUGAUUUGACGUCAUUUUAUCUGUGGCCAAUGACCUUGAGCCUUCUUGGAUGGGCACUUCUAAUGUAACUCUAUGGCAGCACCCAAUGGGCUAGAAUUUUCUAGCUCUACCCUUAUUAGACUUGGCGGUGACGUAGUGUCCCCAUGAGUGACAGAACACUGAGCCAAUCAUGGCGCAACGCUUCUGUAUUUUCUGCUGGCUUGCCUCACCACCACAGAAAGCACUGAGCUAGGCUGAAACACCUGCAUUUUGGAGCUGCCUUACUUAAGAAAAUAAAAAGAGACCAUGUUUGCAUGCGGCUUUAUUAUCUCAAUGAUAUACAUAUUUUUUAUAUUGUUUGCAAACUGAUAUGUGACACAUAUUAAUGCCAAAAUAACAUGCAAAACAUAUUAAUGCCAACAUUUGUUUUUACAUUUGCUCCACCUACCCUGAAUGAUGGGUCGCCACUGGGUCCAACUCAUAAACGAAAUGCAAAUCUGAUAUGGACAGUGUUCUUGUAUAACAGUCUAAAUGUGGCUUAUAGGAAAGAGGUGAAAUCUAAUUAUUCGUUUAAACCGUGUGGAGAUACAGAAUUAAAUGUAUAUAUCCACAUGGCUUCUCUUUUGAGUAAUUUGUUGUCAUAGUCGUCACCUCUACGUGGUGGAUGAACUGUUUCGAUCCCGACGCAACGUAAUUCAUUAAUAUAAUGUUGUUCUAUAAAGUGUCUUGCAACUGGCGAGGUGAUUUCUUGACGUCUAAUAGUGGAUUUAUGUUCUCCAAGACGUACUUUCAAGGCGCGGGAUGUUUUUCCAAUAAAAAUUGUGUUACAAGAACACUGUAACAUAUACAUAACUCCUUUAGUAGUGCAAGUUAUAUAUUGCUUUAUCUCAUAGGUCCUAGAAGUCGGAGGGCAUACAUACUUUUUAUGAAUAUCUCUCUGACCACAUCUGAUUUAACCAAUAUUUUUCAUAGAAUUCUUGAUCGUUUAUAGUUGAAUAAAGGUGGAUUCUGGAAAUCUGAAUUUAAAGAGGAGUCUCAUGA